GGCAGUGAUAGCUCAGAGGUCAGGACGUUAGGCUACUGAUUGGAAGGUUGUGAGUUCAAACCCCAGUACUGCCA